rnacentral:rRNA from 1 species
UACGGAGGGUGCAAGCGUUGUCCGGAUUUAUUGGGUUUAAAGGGUGCGUAGGCGGCCCGUUAAGUCAGUGGUGAAAGCCUCCAGCUCAACUGGAGAACUGCCAUUGAUACUGACGGGCUUGAGUACAGACGAGGUUGGCGGAAUUGAUUGUGUAGCGGUGAAAUGCAUAGAUACAAUCAAGAACUCCGAUUGCGUAGGCAGCUAACUAGGCUGUAACUGACGCUGAGGCACGAAAGCGUGGGGAGCGAAACAGG